GAUCAGAAGAGAGAUUUUUCUCCUGACUUGUUAAAUGAUUGGAAAACACACUUCUCAUAUUAUGAAUUGCUCAUGAUUUUGCUUUUAAGAAUUCCCACCUGCAAGGCUGGGCAGCUGGGGAGGGUGAAUUGCACAGUGGGGCCUGAUGACACAGUUCCUUCCUUUUGCUGCCUUGCACAUAUUGGCUUCUCUCAGAGGCCAGAAGUCUAGUGGCACAUGUGGCUCCUUCAGCCACAGGGUCCUAGCUGCCUGAGUCUUUGUAUGUGGGAAUUGCUGUUAUUAUUUCUUUCAGGAACCUGUCUCUGUGCUUUGAACCAGCCAAACCAGACUCCUCUCUAGGACAAUAUUUGAUUAGGAAUGUUUCCGUCUCAUGACAGGCCAUGCUGUAAGGAUUGAAGAAUGACCAAAUUGAUCUGGGUUCUAAAAACUUAAUCAAGCAUCUUCCUAAAUGGGAUUACUCACAUUCCUGAGGCAUGUGAAGCAGAACUGGAAUCUGCUCCUACAUUUUAGCUGGAAGCUCUGAAAGUUUUUUUACCAGCCUUUUGGGGAAAAUGCCAGAUGUCCACAUGGACAAAGAAGUAACCUUCCUAGGAGGGUUGGCAAUCGGAGUGCAUGAAUGGAGUCACAGAUUGUACUUUGGAGCCGGAGUGGGACAGUUGCUGGCUCUGGAGGUGUCAUUGAGAGGUUGCUUGUCACAUGGCUUUUGUCAAAGUGUCAGGCCAUGAAAAGCCUGGGUCCUAGAAUUUCUGGGUAACUGGGUGUAGAGCUAGGGCUAAAGCAGCUUUAAACCUUCUGCUGAAUUAAUGACAGUCAUUGUUUGUCUAUUAACUCCUGGGUAUGGGUGCAGAUCCUUGACUGCUAAACCAGGGAGAAUAGAAAGGCCUUCUCCACUGAGAGCCAUUGACCCAUUGCUGAUGUAUUUUCUGGGUCUUAUUUGGACAGGCUUCAGAUUGACUAUGUUAGCCCAAGUAAUGCAAAAACUUCCUUCCAGAAACCAGAACUCUUGGAUUUACUCAAAUGCCUUUUUGGCAAAGGAAUGUGAUUGUUUUGUUUCCUUUUCCUCAUUCCAGGGAAGCUGGUCAGUGGCUCCCUAAGUCAAGGUUGGAAGGGGCAUCUCUGGGAGAUGGGAGGGUGGGAUGCAAAUGCAGGAAGAGGGGUAUGAUCUCCAGUGUUCCUUCUUCAAAGAGACCUUUCAUGGCCACCCAAUGUGAUAUAUCCGCUACCCCAGAAUGUAAACUCCAGUGGAAUAAAGAUUUCAUCUGUCUUGUCUCCCCUCUGUCCUCAGCAGUGAGACAGUGACAAAUCUAUGAUGGAAGAUAUCAGAAAAUCAGACCUACUCUGAAUGAUCCAGGACAUCAUCAUGAACAAUGGUUAUUAUAUUGGACUUUAAUCCAGAUCAACUGCAACACAAACCAUUGUGAUUGUUGAAUUUUUGGCUCUGCAUUUUAUGGCUUUUCUCUCUUCAUUUUGUCCAGAUUAUCACCUCUUUCUUUCUGUCAUCAAAGACCUAUAACAAUCAUUCUCCUACUCUUUAUUUAAAAGUUUGAUAAAAUUGGAUAGUUGAGCUUUGGAGAGAUUAAUAUGAAAUACAAGGCUGUGCCUGAGAAAUAAGGGACUGUCUUGGCUAUGUAAGUGUUAAAACAUCCUUGGUGGCAUUUAUUUAACUUAAUUUAACAAUUUUUUCUGUCCCUAGUUUGUAGAGGACAAAUUAGGGGUAUUUUGGUUGCAAGCAACAGAAACUAAGGUUGGUUAUCUAAAGAGAAAAUGAGACUUUUUUGAGCCCUGUGCGGGCACUCAUAGAAUGGAAAGGAUUGUAUAUUACCAAGGACCUAUAGUUUACACAAAGAAAUUAGGUUAAAAAUAGUUUAGUACUCUGAGAACUAUAAGACAUCAUAGAUAAAAGAAAUUGAAGAUGACACAAAUAAAUGGAAAGAUAUGCCAUGCUCAUGGAUGGAAGAAUUAAUAUUGUUAAA